rnacentral:tRNA from 1 species
GCUCCGCGUGGUUCAGGGCGCGCCCACGCGGCGGCAAGGGCAGCGGCGGCUCCGGCGCGGACGACGACGGCGGUUCGACGCCGUCGUGGAACC